GGUUAAUUGGACACAAUGCAUAUUGAUGAUAAUUGAUCAUUUUACUCUGUAGGUAAUCUUUAAUACUAUUUUUCUAGUUGGUGAAGCAUAAUAAGAUGGAACACUGCUUAUGGCUCAAUCACCACAAGACAUGUACUUUUAAUAAAUUGUAGGUAAAUGUAUCUGGUUAAAAUUUUCUGGUUGGGCUUAACUUAAUAUUCCUGCUUAAAUUUCCUAUCAUAGUCUGGUUAAUGUAGCCGGAAAUCUAGUUGUAUGUGACCUUGGACAUCCUUGUUAAAAUAACUAGAUUAUGCUAUAGGUGGAUGUAUAACCAGAGCCCCUGGUAAUGUAUCCACAUAGCAUAGCAUAAUCUGGUAAAUCAGGAAGUCCUGGUCAAAUUAAGAAUGCUUUUAACUUAAUAAUCCUGGUUGAACUUCUUUGUUUUUUUUUAUCUUUUCCUACUAUAGUCUAGUUAAUUUGACCAGAUUUUGUUGGCAUCUCACUUGAUUACAGGCCCUAAAAUAUCGGUCAGUCACGGACAUUGUCCGACCCAUUCGUGAAAUUGUCCGAUGUAGAUAGGAAACCACCUGACAUUCUGUUUGUGCGACCCAAGUGUAUUGGUGUCUGAUUGAACUGUAGCUUUGUCAGACGUAAAUCAAAGUGUACCCUCCUAGUCCAGGACUAGAGGUAAUUGUAUGUUAAAUGGAGAAUCAGAGUAAUGUCGAGAAAGUGAACCGGAA